rnacentral:rRNA from 1 species
GACGAACGCUGGCGGCGUGCUUAACACAUGCAAGUCGAACGGAAAGGCCCUGCUUUUGUGGGGUGCUCGAGUGGCGAACGGGUGAGUAACACGUGAGUAACCUGCCCUUGACUUUGGGAUAACUUCAGGAAACUGGGGCUAAUACCGGAUAGGAGCUCCUGCUGCAUGGUGGGGGUUGGAAAGUUUCGGCGGUUGGGGAUGGACUCGCGGCUUAUCAGCUUGUUGGUGGGGUAGUGGCUUACCAAGGCUUUGACGGGUAGCCGGCCUGAGAGGGUGACCGGCCACAUUGGGACUGAGAUACGGCCCAGACUCCUACGGGAGGCAGCCGUGGGGAAUAUUGCACAAUGGGCGGAAGCCUGAUGCAGCAACGCCGCGUGCGGGAUGACGGCCUUCGGGUUGUAAACCGCUUUCGCCUGUGACGAAGCGUGCGUGACGGUAAUGGGUAAAGAAGCACCGGCUAACUACGUG